GACGAACGCUGGCGGCGUGCUUAACACAUGCAAGUCGAACGAGUGGCGAACGGGUGAGUAAUACGUGGGAACCUGCCCAGUCGCAGGGGAUAACUACUCGAAAGAGUGGCUAAUACCGCAUACAAUUGGAUCGGCCGAUAUCGGAUUAGCUGGUUGGCGGGGUAAAGGCUCACCACGGCAACGAUCCGUAGCUGGUUUGAGAGGACGACCAGCCACACUGGGACUGAGACACGGCCCAGACUCCUACGGGAGGCAGCAGUGGGGAAUUUUGGGCAAUGGGGGAAACCCUGAUCCAGCCAUCCCGCGUGUAUGAGAAGGCCUUCGGGUUGUAAAGCACUUUUGGCAGAGAAGCGGUAUCUGCAGAAUAAGCACCGGCUAACUACGUGCCAGCAGCCGCGGUAAUUC
rnacentral:rRNA from 1 species